UACAUGUGGGGCAAGCGUUGUUCGGAAUGACUGGGCGUAAAGGGUGCGCAGGCGGUUUGUUAAGACGGAUGUGAAAGCCCCGGGCUCAACCUGGGAAUAGCAUACGUGACUGGCAAACUAGAAUAUGGCAGAGGGAGGUGGAAUUCCAUGUGUAGCAGUGAAAUGCGUAGAGAUAUGGAGGAACACCGAUGGCGAAGGCAGCCUCCUGGGCCAAUAUUGACGCUCAGGCACGAAAGCGUGGGGAGCAAACAGG
rnacentral:rRNA from 1 species